rnacentral:rRNA from 1 species
AUUGAACGCUGGCGGCAGUCUUAACACAUGCAAGUCGAACUAGUGGCGGACGGGUGAGUAAUGCUUGUGAAUCUAGCUUAUGGAGGGGGAUAACUACGGGAAACUGUCGCUAAUCCCGCUUACCAUAGGAUGAGCCCAAGUGGGAUAAGGUAGUUGGUGAGGUAAAGGCUCCACAAGCCGCCGAUCGCUAGCUGGUCUGAGAGGAUGACGAGCUACACUGGUACUGAGACACGGCGCGGACGCCUACGAGAGGGAGCAGUGGUGAAAAUUGCGCAAUGGGGGCAGCCUGCAGCAGCAAUGCCGCGUGGAUGAAGAAGGCAUUCGGGUUGUAAAUUUCUUCCUGUAGCGAGGCGUUAACUACAGAAGAAGCACCGGCUAACUCCGUUCCAGCAGCCGCGGUAAUAC